UGCCCAGCAACUCCUAUCCCUACCUCCUCGUGGCACUGGUCGGGGUACGAAUAACCUUGGGGAAGAUCGGGUAACCAAUCCCGGUGGGAUCUUUGGUCGUAUGCUGACAGGGAAGU
rnacentral:ribozyme from 1 species